rnacentral:rRNA from 1 species
GACAGCAGCCGCCACGGUAAUACGUAGGGGGCAAGCGUUAUCCGGAAUUACUGGGUGUAAAGGGAGCGUAGACGGUUAAACAAGUCUGAAGUGAAAUGCCGGGGCUCAACCCCGGAGCUGCUUUGGGAACUGUAGAACUGGAGUGUCGGAGGGGUAAGCGGAAUUCCCAGUGUAGCGGUGAAAUGCGUAGAUAUUGGGAGGAACACCGGCGGCGAAGGCGGCUUACUGGACGACAACUGACGUUGAGGCUCGAAGGCGUGGGUAGCAAACAGGAUUAGAUACCCCUGUAGUCCCUGUCUCUUAUAC